GCAUUAGUAGCUCAGCGCCAGAGCGCCGGCCUUGUAAGCCGGACGUCGGAGGCUAAAAUCCUCCCUGUUGCU
rnacentral:tRNA from 1 species